UACCAGCACCCCGAGUGGUCGGGACGAUUAUUGGGCCUAAAGCAUCCGUAGCCGGUUCUACAAGUCUUCCGUUAAAUCCACCUGCUUAACAGAUGGGCUGCGGAGGAUACUAUGGAGCUAGGAGGCGGGAGAGGCAAGCGGUACUUAGUGGGUAGGGGUAAAAUCCGUUGAUCCAUUGAAGACCACCAGUGGCGAAGGCGGCUUGCCAGAACGCACUCGACGGUGAGGGAUGGAAAGCUG
rnacentral:rRNA from 1 species